GGGGUAAAAUUAAUAAUAAAAAUUGUAAUAAAAGAAAUUUUAAUAUUAAAAAUAUUUUUAUGGGGGUUAAAGUAUUUUUAAUAGAAAAAAUUAAAAAUUUUAUAAUUUAUUAGUAUUGUGAAAGAAAUUUGAAAUAAAAUUGAAAUAUGAAUUUAUUUAAAAGUAAAUUUAAUUUAUUGUAUCUUGUGUAUCAGAGUUUAUUAAAAAUAAUUUAUAUUUUAAAAUUCUCGAAUUUAAAAGAGUUAAUUAAUUAAGAAAUUUAUUGUUUCAUAAAUAUUUUAAAUAAUUAAUUAGAAAUGAAAUGUUAUUCGUUUUUAAAUAUAUCUAGUUUUUUUAGAAAAAAAUUAAAUUUAAAAUUAAUAAAAAAAAUUAAUUUAUUUAAUAAAUUAAUUUUUUUUAUUAAUUUAAUAUUUUAAGGGAUAAGCUUUAAAUUAAAUUUUUAUAAUAAUUGGAAAAAAUUGAAAAUUUUAUAAUUUAUAUUGUUAAAAAAUUUUAUUUUAUUAUAAAUAAUUUCAUGAAAUUUAAAAUUUAAUUUUAAAUUUAAUUUUUUAUAAAAAAAUAUUUUACAAUAAAAAUAAAUUAGUUAUAAUGAUAAAAUUAGUAUAUUAUAAAUGAAAAGUUUAAAAUAAAUUUAUUUAAAAAUAUUUAAAAGGAACUCGACAAAUAUAUAUAUAUAUAUAUAUAUAUAUUAAUAUAUUCACCUGUUUAUCAAAAACAUGUCUUUUUGUUAAUAAUUUAAAGUCUAAUCUGCCCACUGAUUUUAAAAAAUUAAAGGGCUGCAGUAUAUUGACUGUACAAAGGUAGCAUAAUCAUUAGUCUCUUAAUUGGUGACUUGUAUGAAAGAUUGGAUGAAAUAUAAAUUGUCUCUUAAAUAUAUAAUUGAAUUUAAUUUUUUAAUUAAAAAGUUAAAAUAAUUUAAAAAGACGAGAAGACCCUAUAGAGUUUUAUAAUUAACAUAUUUUAAUUUAUAAAUUUAUUAAUAUAAUUAAAUUAUAUUAAUUAUUUUAUUGGGGUGAUAAAAAAAUUUAUUAAACUUUUUUUAAAAUUAAACAUUAAUAAAUGAAUUUUUGAUCCAAUAAUAUUGAUUAUAAGAAAAAAUUACCUUAGGGAUAACAGCGUAAUUUUUUUUUUUAGUACAAAUAAGAAAGAAAGUUUGCGACCUCGAUGUUGGAUUAAGAUAAAAUUUAAAUGCAAAAGUUUAAAAUUUUGAUCUGUUCGAUCAUUAAAAUCUUACAUGAUCUGAGUUCAAACCGGUGUGAGCCAGGUUGGUUUCUAUCUUUUAAAAAAAUUAAUAUUUUAGUACGAAAGGAUCAAAUAUUAUAAUUAAAUUAAUUAAUUUUGAAUAUUAUUAAUAAGAAAUAAAUUUAU
rnacentral:rRNA from 1 species